rnacentral:tRNA from 1 species
GCCGUGGUGGCAGAGUGGUAAUGCGCCGGGCUCGAGACCCGGUUCCCCUACACGGGGAGCGCAGGUUCAAAAGGCGUAGGCCGGAGACUCCUGCCCACGGCG